rnacentral:rRNA from 1 species
AUCAUGGCUCAGGACGAACGCUGGCGGCACGCUUAACACAUGCAAGUCGAACGAGAGAAGAGGAGCUUGCUUUUCUGAUCUAGUGGCGGACGGGUGAGCAACACGUGAGCAAUCUGCCUUUCAGAGGGGGAUACCGAUUGGAAACGAUCGUUAAUACCGCAUAACAUAAUUGAACCGCAUGAUUUGAUUAUCAAAGAUUUAUCGCUGAAAGAUGAGCUCGCGUCUGAUUAGCUAGUUGGUAAGGUAACGGCUUACCAAGGCGACGAUCAGUAGCCGGACUGAGAGGUUGAUCGGCCACAUUGGGACUGAGACACGGCCCAGACUCCUACGGGAGGCAGCAGUGGGGAAUAUUGCACAAUGGAGGAAACUCUGAUGCAGCGAUGCCGCGUGAGGGAAGAAGGUUUUAGGAUUGUAAACCUCUGUCUUCAGGGACGAAAAAAGACGGUACCUGAGGAGGAAGCUCCGGCUAACUACGUGCCAGCAGCCGCGGUAAUACGUAGGGAGCGAGCGUUGUCCGGAAUUACUGGGUGUAAAGGGAGCGUAGGCGGGAUCGCAAGUCAGAUGUGAAAACUAUGGGCUUAACCCAUAAACUGCAUUUGAAACUGUGGUUCUUGAGUGAAGUAGAGGUAAGCGGAAUUCCUAGUGUAGCGGUGAAAUGCGUAGAUAUUAGGAGGAACAUCAGUGGCGAAGGCGGCUUACUGGGCUUUAACUGACGCUGAGGCUCGAAAGCGUGGGGAGCAAACAGGAUUAGAUACCCUGGUAGUCCACGCCGUAAACGAUGAUUACUAGGUGUGGGGGGACUGACCCCUUCCGUGCCGCAGCAAACGCAAUAAGUAAUCCACCUGGGGAGUACGACCGCAAGGUUGAAACUCAAAGGAAUUGACGGGGGCCCGCACAAGCAGUGGAGUAUGUGGAUUAAUUCGAAGCAACGCGAAGAACCUUACCAGGUCUUGACAUCGUAUGCAUAGCUCAGAGAUGAGUGAAAUCUCUUCGGAGACAUAUAGACAGGUGGUGCAUGGUUGUCGUCAGCUCGUGUCGUGAGAUGUUGGGUUAAGUCCCGCAACGAGCGCAACCCUUACUGUUAGUUGCUACGCAAGAGCACUCUAGCAGGACUGCCGUUGACAAAACGGAGGAAGGUGGGGAUGACGUCAAAUCAUCAUGCCCCUUAUGACCUGGGCCUCACACGUACUACAAUGGCUGUCAACAGAGGGAAGCAAAGCCGCGAGGUGGAGCGAACCCCUAAAAGCAGUCUUAGUUCGGAUUGUAGGCUGCAACCCGCCUACAUGAAGUCGGAAUUGCUAGUAAUCGCAGAUCAGCAUGCUGCGGUGAAUACGUUCCCGGGCCUUGUACACACCGCCCGUCACGCCAUGGGAGUCGGUAACACCCGAAGCCUGUAGUCUAACCGCAAGGAGGACGCAGUCGAAGGUGGGAUUGAUGACUGGGGUGAAGUCGUAACAAGGUA